rnacentral:rRNA from 1 species
CUCCGUAGGUGAACCUGCGGAGGGAUCAUUACACAACAAAAUAUGAAGGCCUGGCUUUCGCGGCCGGCUGAAGUAUUUUUUUCACCCAUGUCUUUUGCGCACUUGUUGUUUCCUGGGCGGGUUCGCCCGCCACCAGGACCAAACCAUAAACCUUUUUUUCUUAUGCAGUUUCCAUCAGCGUCAGUAAAAACAAUGUAAUUAUUACAACUUUCAACAACGGAUCUCUUGGUUCUGGCAUCGAUGAAGAACGCAGCGAAAUGCGAUACGUAGUGUGAAUUGCAGAAUUCAGUGAAUCAUCGAAUCUUUGAACGCACAUUGCGCCCUUUGGUAUUCCAAAGGGCAUGCCUGUUCGAGCGUCAUUUGUACCUUCAAGCUUUGCUUGGUGUUGGGCGUUUUUUUGUCUCCCUCUUUCUGGGAGACUCGCCUUAAAACGAUUGGCAGCCGGCCUACUGGUUUCGGAGCGCAGCACAUUUUUUGCGCUUUGUAUCAGGAGAAAAGGACGGUACUCCAUCAAGACUCUACAUUUUUCACUUUUGACCUCGGAUCAGGUAGGGAUACCCGCUGAACUUAAGCAUAUCAAUAAGCGGAGGAAA